rnacentral:other from 2 species
CGUUCUCUGCCGUGCCCGACAGCAUGUGCAAACAUAUCGCCUUGUCCCUUAAGAACGACACCGGGGACGCGCCGGCACCGGGUGUGCAUGUCCGCCUCCGAGCGGAAAGCCCGAUGGGGCCUCAGCGUCUCCACUUGAACCUCGGGUUCAGGGUCGUUUCGCAUGCAUCGACACAGCGGAGAACUU